UAGCUUAGUGGCGAACGGGUGAGUAACGCGUGAGUACCUGCCCUGGAGUGGGGGACAACAGUUGGAAACGACUGCUAAUACCGCAUAAGCCCACGGAUCCGCAUGGAUCUGCGGGAAAAGGAUUUAUUCGCUUCAGGAUGGACUCGCGUCCAAUUAGCUAGUUGGUGAGGUAACGGCCCACCAAGGCGACGAUUGGUAGCCGGACUGAGAGGUUGAACGGCCACAUUGGGACUGAGACACGGCCCAGACUCCUGCGGGAGGCAGCAGUGGGGGAUAUUGCACAAUGGGGGAAACCCUGAUGCAGCGACGCCGCGUGGAGGAAGAAGGUUUUCGGAUUGUAAACUCCUGUCGUUAGGGACGAUAAUGACGGUACCUAACAAGAAAGCACCGGCCAACUACGUGCCAGCAGCCGCGGUAAAACGUAGGGUGCAAGCGUUGUCCGGAAUUACUGGGUGUAAAGGGAGCGCAGGCGGACCGGCAAGUUGGAAGUGAAAACUAUGGGCUCAACUCAUAAAUUGCUUUCAAAACUGCUGGCCUUGAGUAGUGCGGAGGUAGGUGGAAUUCCCGGUGUAGCGGUGGAGUGCGUAGAUAUCGGGAGGAACACCAGUGGCGAAGGCGACCUACUGGGCACCAACUGACACUGAGGCUCGAAAGCAUGGGUAGCAAACAGGAUUAGAUACCCUGGUAGUCCAUGCCGUAAACGAUGGUUACUAGGUGUUGGAGGAUUGACCCCUUCAGUGCCGCAGUUAACACAAUAAGUAAUCCACCUGGGGAGUACGACCGCAAGGUUGCAACUCAAAGGAAUUGA
rnacentral:rRNA from 1 species